rnacentral:lncRNA from 1 species
ACGUGAAGAUGGUGGAGGAGAAUCUAAUCCCUGGGACACAAACCUGUUCUACAACAUGAAUCUGCAACAGGUACACACAACAAUUUUCAGCUGAAGAACAUAAAAGGAGAAACAUUUCAAAAAAAAUACUAAAAGAAAUCCCUAAAAGUUGCAGGACACUGAAGAUGUUGAUCCCAGUAUAGCAGUAGCUAAAAUGAACUCAAGCACGGACUCAAAUUGGGGAUUUGCCGCUCGACUUGAGGAGAUGGAUUGUCAACAACAGUUUCAAAGUUCCUCUCAGCAAUGAAAGAGUGAAUAGAAAAUAGACUUAGUACCUGCAAAAGUACAAAGAAACAAUGCGCGCAAGAACAAAUAAAUAAGAUCAUACAAGAAAGAAUACAUAAAUCAGAUAAUAGAAACAGAAAAAAUAACUUCAAGAAGGAACUAACCAGAAGAGAACAUAUAAAAAGAAUGAACCUCACUUGUAGGAACAGAUUUGACAUUCAGAGAUGAGUGUGAUAAGCAAUCUAGAACAUCAAUUAUAAGGGAUUGUGACCAUUCAACAAAUAGCUUGUGCUUGUCUUUGUUCCUAGCUUGAACAAGGUCUAUAACUACCUAGGAAGCCUGAAAAAAUUCAGUAAAACAACAAAAAUAAUCAACAAGCAAUAAAAGGCAAGAGCACAAAGAACAAUCCCCAAAACUACACUAACCUCAAACCCAAAACGAGCACCAAAGGAUUUCUGCACAUUCAUUUCAAAAAGCAAGUCACUGCAAGGGGGAACAUCACCAUCUCUGCUUGCUGAAGAUUUCUCAAUAGAUUGCUACAACAAGAAGCAAUCCAAACAAAUCACACGGGAAAACAUUACAGGUAAAUUACAGUGAAAGACUGGGACAAAUUACACUGCAAUACUGAGAUAAAUUACACUGUAAAUCCUUACACUGAAAUGCUGAAACAAAUUACAGUGCAAUACUGAGAUAAAUUACAUAGUAAAUCCUUACACUGCAAAGCUGAGACAAAUUACACUGAAAUUACAUUCAAAAAGACACUGUCAAGCCAAACCAACCAACUAACAAAUUAGAGACAAAAUACUAAGUAAAUUACACUGAAAGGUUGAGACAAAAUACACUAAAAUUAAACUCAAAUAUCAUGCCUCUAGAAGUACAUAAACAUGUACCAAGGGGAACUAAACAGCUACAUCUAACAACAAAAAAUCAGCAGCCGAAAUCAGGGACUAGAAAGAGCUUCACAUGAGCAGGUAGCAUCAGGAGAUGAGCAGGUAGCAUCACUGAAAGACCUAGGAAUCUACAUAAUCCUCGCGUACAGGCACAUGAGCAGAACAUAAGCAAGAGAAAUCCCGCAGGCUACUGAUACAUCUAUAGAAACCCCCACGCUACAUCUACAGAAACAAGGGGAAACCCCGCUGCAUCUACAAACUACAACAGCAGCCCACCAGAGACGACCACAACAACCACAAAACCUAGAAAUCACACCUACCAGCGGCUGCAUCAGAAGGCGAGAGGGUGACAUGAACUGGCCUAGAUAUGGAACAAACACAAGCAGAACAGCAUACUCGACAGAGCGACAGAGAGGAAUAACCAACCGCGACACCGGGGAGCGAAUAGAAAGGGGACAGAAAUGAAGCUCGAGCGCUGGAAGUUCACGAAAUCGCCAUGGACAGGGAGAAUCUCCUCCUCUGCUCCGCCGCUCGAGCUUCGCCUCAGCCUUAUCGAAACAGAGAGGAGAUAAUGAAAACAACACAAAAAUCAGACCAGGCCGGGGCAGCCGUAGCGGGCAGAGAGAAAACUGCACCCACACAAAAAACGGACCCGGUAACAAGCCCGACGAAAAACAAAAAACAGCGCGAAUCUCCACGCAAGAACGGAC